rnacentral:rRNA from 1 species
CACGUAGUUAGUCGGGGCUUCUUAGUCGGGUACCGUCUUCUUUCUUCCCUGCUGAUAGGGCUUUACAUACCGAAAUACUUCUUCACCCACGCGGCGUCGCUGCAUCAGGGUUUCCCCCAUUGUGCAAUAUCCCCCACUGCUGCCUCCCGUAGGAGUCUGGGCCGUGUCUCAGUCCCAAUGUGGCCGUCCGCCCUCUCAGGCCGGCUACCGAUCGUCGCUUUGGUGGGCCCUUACCCCGCAACUGGCUAAUCGGACGCGGAUCCAUCGCUUGCCGGAUUUCUCCUUUUCGCACUCUGCCAUGCGGCACCGUGCGCUUAUGCGGUAUUAGCGGCUGUUUCCAGCCGGUAUCCCCCUGCAUGCGGCAGGUUAUCCACGCGUUACUCACCCGUCCGCCACUCGGACAGACUUCACUAGGUUUCCGUCUGUCCCCGUUCGACUUGCAUGUGUUAGGCACGCCGCCGGCGUUCAUCCUGAGCAGGAUCAAACUCU